rnacentral:lncRNA from 1 species
AAUCCCGGCCCAUUUGGAAACUUGGGAGGAGAAUGGCGGUGGAGAUCGACAACUGUUGAGGCGGUUAUAACCGCCUGACAGCCACGAUCACCACCACUUCUCCCUCCCCGCCGAGCCUAUAAGAACCCAGAUACUCAGGGAUGCUUCAUCCCUUACCUCUCACUCUCCCUACUCCUCACCCUCUUCCUUCUGUGUAAGAAGCCGGAUCGAGUACAGUGGCGCCGGAGGAGGAGGGAGCUCGUCCCCGCACUGCGUCGUCGGAGCAGAUGCAUCAGCUCACCGGAAAAGCCCCACAGCUCCUUCCCGGAGCUAGGUGAGUCUUCUGAUCACUCUAUCCCUCUCAUUUCAUAUUCCGAUCUAUCCGGAUGAGUGAUCAAAACAAAAGAGAAAUAAAGAAAUGAAAAGAAGGAAGAAGAAGAAGAGGAGGAUAGAAAGGGAGAAGAGCUUACCGGAUGUCCUCGGUCGUGAAUCCGGCACGAUGAGCUCGGCUGCAGCCGUCGACGGCCGGAGGCUCUUACUCCCCUCUUCCGAUCGCGGGGAGAUCGUCUACAACUCUUCUUUGGCUGUGGUGAGUUCGAUCGCAGCCAUAGCCACAGUGGUGGGUUUCUCCCCCACUGUAGUGAGAACGAAGGAGCCGCCGGCUCCGACUGCAGGCUCCGCUGGCCUUCGGCCGGAGCUGUGGUGGGCCGGAGGCCCCUUCUUCUCAAGGGGGUUGGUUCUGACCCCCAAAGAACAGAGAGGGGGCCGGCCGCUGCGGGCGCGG